AUUGAACGUUGGCGGCAGGCCUAAUACAUGCAAGUCGAACGAGAAAGGCCCUUCGGGGCUGAGUAAAGUGGCGAACGGGUGAGUAACGCGUAGGAAUCUACCCGGUAGUGGGGGACAACUCGGGGAAACUCGAGCUAAUACCGCAUGCGAUCGCCGACUACGGUCGGGGAUGAAAGUGGGGGAUCCACCCCCGUCACGGCUUCGGUCGAGACGGGACGGACCUCACGCUAUCGGAGGAGCCUGCGUUGGAUUAGCUUGUUGGUGGGGUAAUGGCCUACCAAGGCUUCGAUCCAUAGCUGGUCUGAGAGGACGAUCAGCCACACUGGGACUGAGACACGGCCCAGACGGCUACGGUCGGCAGCAGUAGGGAAUAUUGCACAAUGGGCGAAAGCCUGAUGCAGCCAUGCCGCGUGUGUGAAGAAGGCCUUAGGGUUGUAAAGCACUUUCAGUGGCGAAGAAAAAGCCGGCGUUAAUACCGCCGGGUCAUUGACGUUAACCACAGAAGAAGCACCGGCCAACUCCGUGCCAGCAGCCGCGGUAAUACGGAGGGUGCGAACGUUAAUCGGAAUUACUGGGCGUAAAGCGCGCGUAGGCGGUUUGUUAAGUGGGAUGUGAAAGCCCCGGGCUCAACCUGGGAAAUUGCGUUUCA
rnacentral:rRNA from 1 species